UACAGAGGGUGCAAGCGUUAAUCGGAUUUACUGGGCGUAAAGGGCGCGUAGGCGGCUUAACAAGUCACUUGUGAAAUCUCCGGGCUUAACUCGGAACGGCCAAGUGAAACUGUUAUGCUAGAGUGCAGAAGGGGCAAUCGGAAUUCUUGGUGUAGCGGUGAAAUGCGUAGAUAUCAAGAGGAACACCUGAGGUGAAGACGGGUUGCUGGGCUGACACUGACGCUGAGGCGCGAAAGCCAGGGGAGCAAACGGG
rnacentral:rRNA from 1 species